CUGGCCUGUGUGAAUUGACAUUCCUCUUGCCAAUGAACCUGUGGGAAGAGGAUAGUAGAAAAGCAGGAGGGUCUGUAGCCUGUGAUGUGAGGGUCAGGAGGAGACACCAGCUUCACCAGAUCUGUUGAUCUGUUCACAGGUGAUGUCUGUUCCUGUUAGGAUGUUCACACAACUGCCAGCCCGAGGCUUCAGCUUUGUGAGAAAGAGAUGGGAGUGACUUUACCCUGCAGACCCCCAGACAGGAUUGCCCUGCUGCCCUGCACUUUCCAGAGCCCUGCUCUCUCCUGUGUUUUGAAACAAGGCUGCAAAUGAGCUCCUGGAGCCACAUCAGCUCAGCGUUUGCCCCUGCCAUCAGGCACCUGACACUGAGCUGAUGUCUGUCACCCCUUGUCCUGACCCUGGAUACAACAAGUGCUGCCCCAGGCUCCUGACACCCACCAUUGAGGUGGAGAGGUGAAAGUAGAGCUUAAAGACAUCAAAAGGGAAAUGACUUCACACUCUUCUUCCCUACCUGCAGCUUCACUCCUAGACACUACCACCCAUCCACUACCAGGGACUGUUUCUGGAGACAUCCCACCAGCUCCUCUACUGCCCAGGUGUUCUGGCAUCCCAGCAGCUCCAUCAUGAAUGGAUAUUCCUGCUCCUGCCCGUGGCUUUGGAUGCAGGGGAGCCUGUCAACCUCAACUGCUUCCAUGAGGAUUGUCUCCAGAGAAGUUUCUCAGCCAGCCAUACAACUGAAGACCACACUGGACUAAGAACCAAGCAAGAGCAGCAGAGCCAGCCAAGGGACAAGAAAUGGAGCCAUCCCUGAGGAGACCACACAGAGCAGCAGCUGCUGGAGCCCUGGGCAGAGGCAGAGAGAUCUGCUGGACCUGCAGGAACUUCCAGGAGGAAAAUCCAGGUUCCCUCUGGGAUCUGUGCAGAGCCAUGAAAGGUAAUUUCUUUUCUUCUUGCUCUUGGGGCUGUUUGUCCCAGUUUUGGGUCAUUUUAGCUCUCCUGUCCCAUCUUUGUUAUGCCCCUGUAGUUCUGCCCUGGCACUUGGCCUUGUAAAACCUCAUCCCACAGCCCACUGAUGGUGCUGAUGGGCCAGGGAUGAGCAGGAGCUCACUACAAGCACAAGCCCAUCCCCUGUCCCCCAGGGAAGGUGUGAGGGAGCCAAAAC